CACUAACAGAAAUGAAGAAUUCUUCUGAUGGCUCAUUAGUAGCAUGAACUCUGCAAAGGAGAGAAUCUCUGAGCCUGAGGAGAUCUCAUCAGGAACUGAGAAGCAAAGAGAAACAACAGUAAAAAAAAAUGAAACAAAAUAUCCAACAACUACCAAAGGUAUAAUGUGUAUAAUGGGAAUACAGGAGUAGAGCUACAAUAAAAGAAAUACCUGAAUCAAUAAUGACUGAGAAUUUUUUCCAAAUUAAUGUCAAGACAGCAAACUACAGAUCCUGGAAACUCAGGACACAAGGCAGGAUAAAUGCUUAAAGGAAAAAAGAACAGCAGUGCUCCUAGACAUAUUAUACUUAAACUACAGAAAAUCAAAAGUAAAGAAAAAUUCUUGAAGAAAAUCCGAGAAAAAAAUAAAUAAACACCUUACCUAUUGAGAAGCAAAGUUAAGAAUCAUCAGCUGGGCACCGAGGCGCACUCCUGUAAUCCCAGGAGCUUGGAAGGCGGAGGCAAGGAGGACUGCUAGUUCAAAGCCAGCCUCAGCAACUUAGUGAGGCACUUAGCAACUCAGCAAGACCCUGUCACUAAAUAAAAUACCAUAAAGGGCUGGGGAUGUGGCUCAGUGGUUAACACCCCUGGGAUCAAUCCCCAGUACCAAAAAAAAAAAAAAAAUCAUGUCCAACUUCUCCUCAGAAACCAGGCAGGUAAAAGAGAAUGAAAUAAAGUAUUUAAAGUAUUGAGAGAAAACUAUCUCAUGAACCUAGAAUUAUAUACCCUGAGAAAUUAUCCUUUGAAAGUGAAGAAGAAAUAAAGACUUUCUCUGACACACUGAGGAGAUUUGUUACCAGUAGACUUGUCUUGAAGUCAAAGUAAAAAGGCCUUCUGUGAAAAGAAAGCUAAUACAGGCCAGAAACCCGCACUGCAUAAGGAGGAAGCGCCCUGGAGAAGGAGAGGGAGAUCAAAUGCACAUUUUUAUUUGUCUUAUUCUUAAUUUUAUAUAUAUAUUUGAAAAUGGAUUUGGAUUAGUUGUAAAUAUGUAUCGUGAACUGUGGGGAAAUCACUUUAAAAAGUUAAGGAGAAAAAAAGAAACCAAUGUAGAAGCAGUUUACAAAGAAUGGAGAGAGAAUGGGAAUUAAAACCACAAAUGGCAGAAAGACUGGGAGACAAAAACAGUAGGGGAAAAAGUGUGAUAAAUAGAAAACAGCAGCAAAUACAGGAGAUCUUAGUGCAACUGCAUCAAUAGUAAUUUAUUUUUUUCAGAAAGAGGAGGUCUAAAGCCACAGUCAGGAAACCUGCAAUACAUUGAGCCAACAUGAGCACCCUUAACUAUCCUGUUGAAUAUAACAGGACGUACUUUGCUGUAUGAUCUUGGAGCAGACAGGUUGUACCACCAAACCUAGCCCAGUUAAAUAAAGACACAUGUACACCAAAGGGCCUGCUAUGCCACCCAAAAUUAGUCUUUGGUGUCAGCACUGAAGCUAUCAAAUUUGACUCAUUUAAAGGCACUCUGUUUUCCAUGUUCAUUAUGGAAUAGUGUCAAUAAGACUCAAUCAUUUUAAAUGUACUAUUUUGGCUGUUCCAAUAGUUUCAACAAAUGGUUCUCAAACAGAAGUAAAUUACACCAUAGGAGACAUUCAGUAAUGCCUAGAGAUGAUUUUAUUUGUCCCAUCUGGAGAAAGAGGUGCUCUUGGCAUCUGGGAGGUAGAGAAAAGGGAUGCAGCUGAACAUCCUACAAUAUACAAGACAAAUCCCCAUAAUAAAGGUCAACAGGGCCACUGUUAAGAAACUCAGAUUCAGACAUACUCUAAUUUGAUAUUUGAACUCACUCAAAUCAUAAAACAGGCUUUCUUUAUCAACAAUUAUUUUAAACACCAAGAUUCUAAAUAAACUAAUUAAAAGGUAGAAAUGGUCAGAGCAUACCAAAACCCCACUAUGUGUGUGUGUAUAUACAUAUGUGCGUGUAUAUUAAAUUCACUUUAAAUAUAAAAACAUGAAUAGAUUAGAAGAUUGAGAGAAAGAUAUACAAUGUUGCUUCUAGCCAAAAGAAAGUUGGAGUAGUUCCAUUAAUUUCAGCUACAACUGACUUCAAGCCAGGGUAUAAUCAGAG
rnacentral:lncRNA from 1 species